rnacentral:rRNA from 1 species
UACGGGGGGGGCAAGCGUUGUUCGGAAUUAUUGGGCGUAAAGGGCUCGUAGGCAGUUCGUCACGUCGGGAGUGAAAACUCGGGGCUUAACCCCGAGCCUGCUUCCGAUACGGGCAGACUAGAGGUAGGCAGGGGAGAGCGGAACUCCUGGUGUAGCGGUGGAAUGCGCAGAUAUCAGGAAGAACACCGGUGGCGAAGGCGGCUCUCUGGGACGGUACUGACGCUGAGACGCGAAAGCGUGGGGAGCGAACAGG